rnacentral:sRNA from 1 species
ACCAGGUGGCCGCAUUACCCAUUCGGCCACCGGGGCCCCAAUGGGGCAUGUUAUCUUGGCAGUUAUCUGACUCUGUACAAUGUGAUUGGUGGUGAAAGAAAUUAUGCUUUGUUUACAUACACUCUCAUUGACCAUCCAUGAAGAAUAUAUAUAUAUAUAUAUAUUUUAUUUACUUUGUAUAGUUAUCUAUCUAUCUAUCUAUCUAUUGACUUGCUUAGCUUCACCACAACAGAGCUAAUACUAUUAUCCCCUCAUCUGACGGCGAGGCAUAAUUAGCGUUAUUUUUUAGCGUGUACAGUAGUGUAUUAAAAACGCGAAAACUACUGAAUUAUAUGAGAGAUCAGCUGUAUUAGUGUGUUUUCAUGUAAUUUAUGUAAUCUAUUUGAUGAUCUAAUUCUAAUUAAGAUAUAGAAUGAAACUCCUGCCAACAUUGGCUUUUCAGACAGAGAGGGAUAUUAUUAUUAUUAUUAUUUUUCCAUUUAUAGAUGUAUGCAGUUAAUGACUAUGACAUCUAUCUGAAUGAUUUCAGGGUUUUUCAAAUCAAGAAUAUCUA